rnacentral:rRNA from 1 species
AGCGAACGCUGGCGACAGGCUUAACACAUGCAAGUCGAGCGGGCACUUUCGGGUGUCAGCGGCGGACGGGUGCGUAACGCGUGGGAACGUGCCCUCUGGUUCGGAAUAACUCAGGGAAACUUGAGCUAAUACCGGAUACGCCCUUUUGGGGAAAGGCUUGCUGCCGGAGGAUCGGCCCGCGUCUGAUUAGCUAGUUGGUGAGGUAACGGCUCACCAAGGCGACGAUCAGUAGCUGGUCUGAGAGGAUGAUCAGCCACACUGGGACUGAGACACGGCCCAGACUCCUACGGGAGGCAGCAGUGGGGAAUAUUGGACAAUGGGCGCAAGCCUGAUCCAGCCAUGCCGCGUGAGUGAUGAAGGCCUUAGGGUUGUAAAGCUCUUUUAUCCGGGACGAUAAUGACGGUACCGGAGGAAUAAGCCCCGGCUAACUUCGU